UCCACCAUGGGCUGCAGGCUGCACUGCUGUGUGGCCCUCUGUCUCCUGGGAACAGUCCCCAUGGACAGUGGAAUUACUCAGAACCCAAAACACUUGGUCAUGGGAAUGAGAAAUAAGAAGUGUUUGCAAUGUGACCAACAUCUGGGAUAUGAUUAUAUGUAUUGGUAUAAACAGAGUGCUCAGAAGCCACUAGGACUCAUGUUUGUCUACAGCUAUAAGAAACUCGCUGCGAGUGUUCCAAGUCGCUUCUUACCUGAAUGUCCAGACAGCUCCCUCUUAUACCUUCACAUGGAUGACCUGGAGCCAGAAGACUCUGCCGUGUAUUUCUGUACCAGCAGCAAAGACACAGCCUUGCAGAGUCACUUUCUCCCUGUGCACAAACCUCCUGGGUCCAGCCAGGAAGCUGUGGGGCAACCAAGGCUCAGUUCAACAUUUCCUGUAGGGCCCUAG